CCCCUCUUCGGAGCAUGUAUACAGGUGGUGCAUGGUUGUCGUCAGCUCGUGUCGUGAGAUGUUGGGUUAAGUCCCGCAACGAGCGCAACCCCUGUUCUUAGUUGCCAGCACGUUAAGGUGGGAACUCUAAGAAGACUGCCGGUGAUAAAUCGGAGGAAGGUGGGGACGACGUCAAAUCAUCAUGCCUUUUAUGUCCUGGGCUACACACGUACUACAAUGGCUAUAACAAAGGGAAGCGAGACCGCGAGGUGGAGCAAAACCCAAAAAAGUAGUCUCAGUUCGGAUUGGAGGCUGAAAUUCGCCUCCAUGAAGCCGGAAUUGCUAGUAAUGGCAGGUCAGCAUACUGCCGUGAAUACGUUCCCGGGCCUUGUACACACCGCCCGUCACACCAUGAGAGUUGGGAAUACCCGAAGCCUGUGAGCUAACUUUUUAAGAGGCAGCAGUCGAAGGUAGAAUCAAUGAUUGGGGUGAAGUCGUAACAAGGUAGCCGUAUCGGAAGGUGCGGCUG
rnacentral:rRNA from 1 species